rnacentral:rRNA from 1 species
UACGGGGGGGUGCGAGCGUUGUCCGGAAUCACUGGGCGUAAGGGGCGCGUAGGUGGUCUGAUAAGGGUGUGGUGAAAGUCCGGGGGCUCAACCCCCGGAUCUGCCGUGCCGACUGUCAGACUCGAGGACUGUAGAGGCAGGCGGAAUUCCGGGUGUAGCGGUGGAAUGCGUAGAGAUCGGGAGGAACACCAGUGGCGAAGGCGGCCAUCUGGAUCAACACUGACGCUGAGGCACGAAAGCGUGGGGAGCAAACAGGG